rnacentral:rRNA from 1 species
UACGUAGGGUGCGAGCGUUGUCCGGAAUUACUGGGCGUAAAGAGCUCGUAGGUGGUUUGUCGCGUUGUUCGUGAAAACUCACAACUCAAUUGUGGGCGUGCGGGCGAUACGGGCAGACUGGAGUACUGCAGGGGAGACUGGAAUUCCUGGUGUAGCGGUGGAAUGCGCAGAUAUCAGGAGGAACACCGGUGGCGAAAGGGCGGGGUCUCGUGGGGCAGUAACUGACG